GGGUCGGUAGCUGAGACGGACUAGCGGCUGGUUGAAGCCCAGCAGACGGGGAUUCGAGCGCCUCCCGACCCA
rnacentral:tRNA from 1 species